UGGGAUCACAGGUCCCAUGGAUGUGGCGAAAGCUGAACAAAAAG
rnacentral:ncRNA from 1 species